GACAUUGAUGCAUUAGGCGAGGUGAGGACUGAUCGCCAGUAGGACUGGAACCGCCAAGCCCUACGGAGCUGCAGUAGGAUCUCACAUGGGCGAAAGCUGAUGAGCAACGCGCGUGUGUGAUGAAAGGCUUUAGGGUCGUAAAGCACUGUUGUUAUGGGAGAAUGCUAGAAUAGGGAAAUGAUUCUAGUUCGACGGUACCAUACCAGAAAGGGACGGCUAAAUACGUGCCAGCAGCCGCGGUAAUACGUAUGUCCCGAGCGUUAUCCGGGAUUUAUUGGGCGUAAAGCGAGCGCAGACGGUUGAUUAAGUCUGAUGUGAAAGCCCGGAGCUCAACUCCGGAAUGGCAUUGGAAACUGGUUAACUUGAGUGUUGUAGAGGUAAGUGGAACUCCAUGUGUAGCGGUGGAAUGCGUAGAUAUAUGGAAGAACACCAGUGGCGAAGGCGGCUUACUGGACAACAACUGACGUUGAGGCUCGAAAGUGUGGGUAGCAAACAGGAUUAGAUACCCUGGUAGUCCACACCGUAAACGAUGAAUACUAGGUGUUAGGAGGUUUCCGCCUCUUAGUGCCGAAGCUAACGCAUUAAGUAUUCCGCCUGGGGAGUACGACCGCAAGGUUGAAACUCAAAGGAAUUGACGGGGACCCGCACAAGCGGUGGAGCAUGUGGUUUAAUUCGAAGCAACGCGAAGAACCUUACCAGGUCUUGACAUCCUUUGAAGCUUUUAGAGAUAGAAGUGUUCUCUUCGGAGACAAAGUGACAGGUGGUGCAUGGUCGUCGUCAGCUCGUGUCGUGAGAUGUUGGGUUAAGUCCCGCAACGAGCGCAACCCUUAUUGUUAGUUGCCAGCAUUCAGUUGGGCACUCUAACGAGACUGCCGGUGACAAACCGGAGGAAGGCGGGGACGACGUCAGAUCAUCAUGCCCCUUAUGACCUGGGCUACACACGUGCUACAAUGGCGUAUACAACGAGUUGCCAACCCGCGAGGGUGAGCUAAUCUCUUAAAGUACGUCUCAGUUCGGACUGCAGUCUGCAACUCGACUGCACGAAGUCGGAAUCGCUAGUAAUCGCGGAUCAGCACGCCGCGGUGAAUACGUUCCCGGGUCUUGUACACACCGCCCGUCACACCAUGGGAGUUUGUAAUGCCCAAAGCCGGUGGCCUAACCUUCGGGAGGAGCCGUCUAAGGCAGAACCAGUGG
rnacentral:rRNA from 1 species